CUCCGAUAAUACAUUUGAAUAAGAAGUAUAUAAAAAGGACCUUAAACAGAAGAAAAGUGGAGAAAAAGUCGGAAAGUGAAGGAUGAAAGGGAAUCUUGUUGGUUUCCUGUUCUGUCCUUGUCUGUUGAGUGGUGUUGCUGUAGUACUGGUGACAGUCAGUUCAUCUCAGCAAACUGACCUGAAAAAGGAAGAAGUUUUCGAGAGAGUGGAAGACUUUAGGCUUGUGGGACAUGUCUUUAAAACUUUUAUCGCU